rnacentral:lncRNA from 10 species
AACUGAAGUAAGUUCUCCUUCCUGUAACCAGCAGAGUGUUUUUCCAGGUGGCUGACCAGGAUCACUGAGCAAAAGACAAUCACUCCAUGAGGCAGCCCUGGGGCACUUGCCUGGCAUCAGGAGCUCAACGCAGAGAACUGAAUGCUAAUGUUUAAUGUUUGUGCACUGGAGGGCACACAUCAUUCAAAAUUUGAUGGAGGCUGUUUAGAAUCUAUUUUAAUCCCAGAAGAUGACAUGCUCUUGGCGUGGAUAUGGGGAUAGCCAGCUGUAUUGAAAAAGGAUGACUACACAACAAAAGAAGAAAGGUGAGGGUCACCUUCAAGGGGAAAGGGUUGAGUUCUGGCCACUGAUUUGCUGAGUGACCUUUGACAAAUCGCUGUACCUUGCUGGUCUCCUAAAUGGGGUGACCAUGGGAGCAGAUUCUCCACGUUCUGGACUUGGCACUCUUCUCAUCUGACUGCACAGUAUGUUUUGGGGUUCUCAUCUACCACCACCCAGGGCUGAUGGCUCCCAAAUCUAAGUUCUGGCCCAGACUCCUUUCCCCAGGUCCACACUCAUGUGUUCAACCAGUUGUUGGACAAUUCCUCUGGGCUUUCCCAAAGGCCCCAAAUUAAACUAAUCUUCUUCUUGUUUAAAUCAAACAAAUUUAAACAAAUUAAAUUAAUUUUCCCUGCAAACCUCUUCCGCUUCCUUUUUAUGCCAUGUCUUGGGGAAUCACAUCACCAUGUCAGGAAUCUUAUGUCAUUCCUUCCUCCCCUACCUUUGCACCUGAGAUCCUAGUGGUCACCAAGUCCCUUCUCUCCUGUGCAUCCCCCUCCUUGUAUUCCCACCACUACUGCCCUAGUUGGCACCUCAUUAAUUCCCACUGGAAUCACUGCAAAUGCUUCAUAACUGAUCUUUCUAUCUGACUUCAUUCUCCACACAUCCUGCAGCAUGAACUUUUUGAAGCACAGAUUUGUGAAUGCCUGUGCUCUGCUUAAAAGCAAUCAGAGGCCCCUCACUAAUAAGGAAUGAAAUUCAAACUCCUGG